rnacentral:tRNA from 1 species
GGGCCGGUAGCUCAGUCGGUAGAGCAGCGGACUUUUAAUCCGUUGGUCGCGAGUUCGAAUCUCGCCCGGCCCA